ACUUGUCAUUGUUGAUGAUUACUCAAGAUACACAUGGGUGUUUUUCCUCAAGUCAAAGGACGAGGCGAAGAUCACCUUCAUUGAUUUUGCCAAGCAAGCCCAAUGCAAGUUUAACAAACAAAUCUUGGCAAUAAGAAGAGCCAAUGGCCCCGAGUUCAAAAACUACACCUUAGAAGAAUUUCUUAGUGAUGAGGGGAUUGAGCAUCAAUAUUCCGCACCCUACACUCCUCAACAAAAUGGUGUAGCCGAGAGGAAGAACCGUACACUUGUGGAAACGGCAAGGUCCAUGUUGGAUGAGUACAAGUCACCCCAUAGUUUUUGGGUCGAGGCUGUCAACACCGCAUGCCAUGCAUCAAACCGGCUCUUCCUCCGCGUGAUAUUGGAAAAGACUCCAUAUGAGCUCCUAACCGGGAACAAUCCGAAUGUCAAGUACUUUCGUGUAUUUGGGUGCAAGUGCUUCAUUCUCAACAAGAGAUAACGGUUAGAAAAAUUUCAAUCCAAAACACUUGAGGGCAUAUUUGUUGGUUAUGUAUCAAACUCUCACGCCUAUAGAUUCUACAACAAAUCCAAUGGAUGUGUUGUAGAAACUUGUGACGUGGUGUUUGAUGAAUUUAAUGGCUCCCAUGGGGGGCAAGUUGAUCUAAGUGAGGUUGGUGAAGAAGAUCCUUCUCAAUAUAUUUUGACCAUGGGUGUUGGUGCUCUUGUUCCAAUGGAACAAGAACCUCAUGAUGAUGAAGAAGAAGAUGGAGGUUUCACUCAUCAUCAAGCCACUACAACACCCAUGCCACCACAAGAUCCUAUUGCUCAAGCGAAGCCCGUUGUUCAAGAACAAGAAGAAGAACAAGUCCCUCACCAUGAUCAUAUUCAAGAACAAGAUCAUCAUCAAGAGCAAGAACAAGAAAGUGCGAUCAUUGAUGAUGAACCUCAACAAAUGCAACAUGAAGAAGAUCUUCCACUGCACAUUAAUGAUCCAUAUGUGAAGAUGUGGCUGAUGGAAAUGAAGUUGAACCUCGUGAAACUCUCACCUCCUUCACGCCUCGAGUGGCCGGUCGUGUUGACAUUGAUAAAAUUCUUAAUGGCAUAUCAGAAGGUAGAGUCACUCGUAAACAAUUGACAAAUUUUUGUGCUCACUUUUCGUUUGCCUCUAGUGUUGAGCCACUCAAGGUACAAGAUGCAUUGAUGGACAAUGAUUGGCUCGUUGCUAUGCAAGAAGAGUUGAACAGUUUUGAACACAAUAAAGUGUGGUCUUUAGUCAAGAGACCAACUAAGGAACACAAUGCCAUUGGAACAAAGUGGAUUUUCAAAAACAAUCAAGAUGAAAAUGUUGUAAUCAUCCGAAAACAAGGCAAGGUUAGUGGCACAAGGGUACUCACAAGUUGAAGGUUUAGACUUUCAUGAGACUUUUUCUCCUGUUGCCCGUCUUGAGUCUAUUUGCAUUUUACUUGCUUAUGCUGCUUUCAAUGGUUUUACUUUACAUUAAAUGGAUGUGAAGAGUGCUUUCCUUAACGGUCAUCUACAAGAAGAAGUAUAUGUAUCACAACCAACCGGGUUCGUUGAUCCCGAUCACAAAGACUAUGUGUAGAAACUUCACAAGGCUUUGUAUGGCCUCAAACAAGCACCUCGUUCUUGGUAUGAUCAUCUUAAGAAGUUUCUACUUGACGAUGGCUUUGUGGGAGGGGUGAUCGAUCCCACUCUUUUUUCUAAGAGGGGAAAGGGUGAUUUGAUCUUAUGCCAAAUCUAUGUAGAUAACAUCAUUUUUUGUUCUCCUAACAUUCAUUUGUGCAAGAAGUUUGCGGCCUCCAUUACUAAGAUCUUUGAGAUGUCACUCAAUGCAGACUUGAAGUUGUUUCUUAGAUUUCAAAUUCAACAAUUUCAAGAAGGAAUUUUCUUGUCCCAAACCAAAUAUCUCAAAGACCAUCUUGAUAAGUUUGGAAUGACCGAUGCUAGUCCAUGCAAGACACCCAUGACAACCAAACUUGUUCUUACUAAAGAUACAAAUGGUAUCCCUUUUGACCCAUCUCUUUAUUGCUCUAUGAUUGGCUCGUUGCUUUAUCUUUGUGCAUCUAGACCAGACGUAAUGUUAAGUGUAGGCAUAUGUGCAAGAUUUCAAGCUUCCCCUAGGGAAAGUCGUCAUAAGGCGGUUAAGCAUAUUCUUAGAUACCAUGCUCACACCCCAAAGCUGGGUCUAUGGUACCCCAAGGAUGCCAAGUUUGAUCUCAUUGGGUACACAGAUGCGGAUUGGGCCGGAGACAAAGUGGGACGAAAGUCUACCUCCGGUGCAUGUCAAUUUCUUGGAUGCUCCUUGGUAAGUUGGUCCUCGAAGAAGCAUAGUUGUGUCUCCCUCUUCACCGCCGAAGCCGAAUACAUUGCAAGCGCAAGUUGUGCAACUCAAUUACUAUGGAUGAGGCAAACUUUAAAGGAUUAUGGUAUCACAUAUAGACAUGUGCCUCUUCUAUGCGACAAUGAAAGUGACAUGAAGGUUGCUGAGAACCCUGUUGAUCACCCUCACCAAGCGCAUUGAUAUUAUAUAUCACUUCUUGAGAGACCAUGUGCAAAAGUGUGACAUUGAUAUUGCUCAUGUUGGUACGAAUAUGUAACUUGCCGACAUAUUCACCAAACCUUUGGAUGAAGCAAGGUUCUGUCAGCUCAGGCGUGAACUUGAGCUUGAUAACAUUAUGUGAAACCUUGUACCUAUGGAUACAUCUACUUCAUGUCGAUCUUGAUGUGGGCAUCUAUUUAGGGGGAGAAAUUCAACUCAUUAUUUGCCUUUCUCUCUAUAUAAUGCAUAAAUGAAACAAACACUCUCAAAGUUAUCAUGUUCUUCAAACUAUGGUGCUUUAAAUGAUGGAGUUGUGGUGAUGGCCUCAAGGUUCCUUUCUUUGUAGUGCCAUACCACGUUUACUCAAACAUGGUGGCCUAAGCCACCACCCAAUAUUAGAGCAGCUUACUUACUCUAUCUAGGGUCAUCAUUGCUUGGCAUGGUCAUGUUCCUUGUGAUUCUCUAUACCACAUCUCCUCAUCUCAACAUCAUAUGUGUGUCUAGUUCCUAAUUGAGUGGUUUCAUCUCUAUCUUACGACUUAUCUUUCCCUAAUAAUAAACCAGCAAUUGCUUCUGGUCGUCUGUCAUUGGGCUUUUUGCAAAAAGAUCCCUAUGGUUUCUGGUAAUUGAACCCGCAGUCCUAUUAAAUGUGUACGAAAAAUGAUUUGUUUUUGCAAAUUAGCCCCUACAUUUUGUAAAAAUUCCAGCCGCACUCCUUUGUUCACCUUAUCCGGUGGCAGAGGGGAGACAGCUGCGGCUCUGCUCGUCGGCGACCUCGUCGGCGCAGAAGGUGUCCGCCCCUCUCCUCCGCCUCCGGCCUCCGCGCCGCCCCCUAGCUCGAGGUGGGUGGAGCAGAUCGGCGCGCAUGACCUCCACCAUGGCUCCGUCAACACGCUCCACUGCCUGCUCGUCGGCGCCGGCCUCCGCCUGCCUCCGCACAUGGACGCCGUCGAGUUCGCGGCAAGGAGCCUUGGCGCCAUUCCAGAGCUAUCUUCCCUCUUCCUCUUGUGCAGCAUAGUCCCACCUCGCCCUCUUCCAUUAAAUCCUCCCAAUUUAAAUCCAUUUUUAUAUUUUCUCCGUAUCAAGUUGCCGUAGAGCCAAGGGUGUGAGAACGCAUGCAAGGAAUAAGGAAGGGAAUGAAUUGAGUGACUCUGGCAGAGAAAUAAGGAAGGAAUUAACCAAGGAA